rnacentral:rRNA from 1 species
AAAACCUAGUCUCAGUUCGGAUCGGAGUCUGCAACCCGACUCCGUGAAGCUGGAUUCGCUAGUAAUCGCGCAUCAGCCAUGGCGCGGUGAAUACGUUCCCGGGCCUUGUACACACCGCCCGUCAAGCCAUGGGAGCCGGGAGUGCCUGAAGUCCGUGACCGCGAGGAGCGGCCUAGGGUAAGACCGGUGACUGGGGCUAAGUCGUAACAAGGUACC